UUUCACUAAUCGUACAACACAAGUUCAAUGUUCUUACAAUUCCCACAUUCCUGUAAAGAGGACGUAGUACAAAAACUACAAACUUCUAAUUUAUCGUAGCGUCUAAUCUCAUAGAAUAAAAGUUUACUGAACAUGCCCUUACUUACUUAACCAUAAUUGAAAGUCCAUUCCUUUGUUCACAAACUUCCGCCAGCUUCCAUCCAAAUCAACUUCCUUGGAAGGAUUGCAAUCAAAAUUCCAAGUUUCACUACAAGUGUAUCAACAAUUUUUGCAACAUAACCUUCAUUGUUAGCAUGGAAUAAUUUUAUGGGAUUCCAGCCCAUCUCGGCUUUGAUCAACUCAGUUAUGUUGUGACAGAUGCCAAGAUCGUAAAAAUGAUCAUAAAAUACCACUUGCGCCUAUUAAUUAGACGUGAAAACAAUUGCAUUUUAUUUAGACAAACCAUCUCUUACUCGGAGCAUCACAAAGAUGGAUGUUCCUAGCUCUGGUGCACCAAGAUUGAGUGGAAAAAUGUCAGUUGAUAAAUGGGUGGUGAAGCUUCAAUCUUAAGGAUUUAAUAUGGAGAACAAGAUAGAGAAAAUUAGAAGUCAGAGGAUACAUACAUGCUACUUACUCAUUCUCCCACAAUGAACAAAUCUUAAUAUCAAUAAGUGUAUAUUCUAGAGUGCCUACUGAAGUCAUUGGCUUCUAUUCGAGGCUAAUGAUUGUGUGUCCUGGAGGGAUCGUCUUUCACGUUCCCUAAUUUGCAUAUUUAUAUGGUCAUAAACUUGUUGCUUACGAUUUUUCGGGAUAAGAUCGACUCAUUCUCCAGUGAGCCGUAUUGGCACGUCCCUUAACUUUAGCAAAGUGAUCUCGGGCUUCUCACUUUUUCCUACCUGCAAAAUUGCGCCAUCGAGCUCGAGUAGAUGUUUAAUGAACUUUCUGAGCGCAAACUGCUGCCACAUUUCAACAUUAUACCAGUUUGGCCAAAUCCAUUUCAUGCCAAUCUGGUUAUCUCAGCAAGAGCUGAAAGGAAACCAUCAAAUUGGAUCAGCUAAGUAAAGUAAUCUUGUCUGUAAAAGUUGAUGACAUAAAUUGUUAAAAUUCCAAAAAUUGAACAUAAACUUUUGUUACAACAGUCAACCCUUCAUCUGGACUUCGGACCAACUAUGAUUCAACAUAGGCGGAGUUUAAAUUAUACAAGGAAUAAUUAAUUAAUAAAUUUAUACAUUAUGUUAUUUCGUAUACAACUUUUUAAAAUUAAAAACAUCAGGUUAUUAAAUCAUUUUCACUUAUAAUUUGUUCGAAGAUAUCUAACUAAUUAUAAAUGUGACACGUGGCCAGUUCCAUUUGCAAUGUCUUCUUGAUUCAUCGAGGUGAGCUAUGACCUUAACCCCUGUCAUGGCCCCCUAAUACUUGAAGCUCCUUUACUGAUCAGAAAUCUUUAUUGCAAGAGCUAACUCUGUAGCAGCAUCGCAGGGAGAAUAUGGUAGCAAAUGGAUGUUACCCUGUAUCGAAUAACACAACAUGGGCCGAAGAAUGUAGUAUCUUAGCCAGAGAAACAUUUUCACUUGUACGUGUUGCAUUAUCAACCAACAUAAGAAACAAGUGAAUUAUUAAUUCUGUCAAGUCAUCCUAGCCAGUAGCCAUUUAGCCCUGCCUCAUCCAGUUAAAACUUGCAACUGUUAACAACCCAGAAAGUCUAAAGCAGAUGGAAACUUUAGGUUGUAAAUAUAGCAACAGAACAGAAGAGAAGCAAAUAUUUAGAGCUUUUUGUUGAUCAGGCGACACCUGGAUUUGGAUCUUAGCACCCAAAAAGUCUGUAUGUACAAACGAUCUAGGCCUGUAUUCGGAGUUUCCCUGGGGUUGGUACUGUUCGAGUGCAGAAGAAGCAAGGAUCUUAUUUUCUUCCAAGCCAUCUCUACGCUGAAAGCCAUAAAGACAUUGACAAGUCCAUCUUCUUUUCCCUCUGCCGAUGAUCUAUCUCCCUCUCUUAUUGACAUAGAUAGCGGGUCCUACAGAGAGAGGGCCUUUGGUUCAGUUUCACUCUGAACAAUGUCCCUCGUUUGAGCCCCAUUAAUUUUCAUUACAUUACAUUUCAUUUUUUUCUCUCUUAUUUUCAACUAGACAAUCUUCCAUAAAAUAAUAUUACACGUAAAUCGAAAAUUUUUCCUUCUUUUUCAACCACUUCUUUUUCAAAAAAAUACUAUUUCACCCAUUAAAUUUUCCACGUAAUGGGGGCCAAACAGGGGCAUAAUAGAAUUUUGAACCCGAAUGAUUUCUAUUCCUAACAAAGUUCACAGCAUAUGGUUCAGCUUCUGAAUAAGUUCAGAGGCAUGUCUUGGAUGAACAUGCUUUCAUUUCAUUCCACAAUCUGCAUUUUCACGGUCUUAGAUCUGUUGGUUGUGCAUUUUGGACUAGAAUAUAUCAUGAAUCUUAAGUCAAAAUAAAUUAUCAUGGAUAUCUCUGACGAGUCUGGAUAAAUAUCGGAUGAACUUGUUUUCAGUCCAUAUUUUCAAACCAGCUCAUAUACUGCUUCAUUUCACCUUAGGAACUAUUUUCUAGCCACUGGAUCCAUGCCAAUCUGAUCAUCUCAAGAAGAUCUGAAAAAAACCCUUCAAUUUGGAUCAGUCACAGAAAUUCGAAGCAUGGCUGGGCACAAUAUGUCAAAGAAGUAGUGGUGUCAAACGAGCUGGGCUAGGUCAAUGUUAGGGUUGUAACUGGAAGAAAAGAAGAACAGAAAUUAAUAACAGAUAUUUGAUUGAAUUGCAGAGAAUUACAGGUGAGUAAAUGACAAACAAGACUCCUUUCUUUCACUCAAUAUUUGCCUAUCUUCUACCCUUCCUCCUACCUUUAUUUAUAGCAAUUUCCUAACUAAUUCCCCUCCCCACUUGCCCUUGUAACAGAAUUCUGUUGCUGUCCCUGCUUCUCACGUCUUCUGGGCUCUUCUAGAAUUGAAGGCUUAUCAGUCAACAAGGUUACACGGCCUAUGUGCAGGCCGGGUUGUUUAUCCAUUAUAUAUUGAGUUCUUUUAGUAAUAAACAAUGCAAAAUGUUUUAUAUUCAAAAGAUUGAAGUACUGAACAAAACUAAACUUAGUUUAUUCUUUAAAUCUAAACACAACCCUCCUCCUUUAUCCGGGCUUGGGACCGGCUAUGAUUAGUCAUAGGCGGAGUUGAAAUUAUACACGGAAUAAUAUAUUAUGCAAUUCCGUGUACAACUUUCUAAAAUUAAAAACAGCAGAAUAAUUAUAUCAUUUACACUUAUAAUUCCUUUGAAGAUACCAAACAAAGUAUAAGUGUGACAAGUGGCCAGACCCAUUUUGACACCACUAUUAAAGUUACGAGAAAAAAAAGUUCGAUUCUGUUAGACUUAAAGCACAAAAUUUUAUAAAUCAAAAUCAAAUGGUAAGGGCUGAGAACAGAUUCUGUGUCUAAGUUCUGUCCAACUAAAUUCGGCAGACCAUUAAGGAAAAUUCUAUUAGGUGGUCGGUUUAAAACCAACAAAUAUCAGUAAUGAGAUAAAAUUGAGAACCUUUUGACAAAACUAUCCACGGAUGAUCAUGUACAUCAAUAAAUACAAUUAAAUUGAAUCAAGAUGGUAUCUAAGUAACUUUAAAAGAGAAACCAAAAUUUUGAGGAUGUUACUAAAAGAAAAGAAGAAGCAUCGUGUCAUAUUAGAUGAAAAAACAGAAAGAAAUUAUUCACAAUCGCAUCAACUCUUUGUUCACGAACUGAAGAAAUGCAAGACUUGAGAAUUAUAAGAACAAAAGUAGUUUCAAGCAAAAAAAUUAACAUUAAAUACCUCUGCAGAAAGCUGACAUCAUCAUGUUUCCCUUCCAACACAGCCUGCAAAGUUACUAUUUCAUUGUUUAAUUUGUUGAAGACGUUUGUACCCCACUUCAAACAUUAAUACUUGAGGAUCCUUUACUGAAGAAGCAUUUUAGAAGAGCAAACUCUGUAGCAGCAUUCCAGGGAGAAGAUAAUAGCUAUCUCAUUUAAGGAUUUGCCAGUAUGAGACCACAUCAUGGAAAAACUAAGUAUGAACUUGCGAAUAAAAAUCUUCUAUCUCAGUUUCUUCUAAUUCAUAUUCACGGUUCAUUGCCAAAAUUCUUGGUUUCUAAUGAAGUGUACGAAAUGCAUCCUUUGUUUUGUUGAAAUAUUGUACCCCUCAUCAACACUUGAAGGUUCUUUACUGAAGAAACAACACAGAUCCCAAGAGCAAACUCUGUAGCAACAUUCUGUGGAGAAGAUGAUAGCUGUCUAAUUUGCCUGUACAAGUUGAUCAUAUACUGCAUCAUGGCGAAAUAAAUUAUGAAUUUGUCAAAAUAAAUAAAUAGAUAAAUAAAUAAACUUCCAUCUCAGUUUCUUCCAAUUCAUCCUCAUGGUUCAUUGCCAAAAUUCUUGCUUCCAAUUAAGCGAAAAAUAAUGUUACUGUUGCAUUCUUUGUUUUCUUGAACAUAUUGUACCCCUCUUCAAACUCUAUUAAUUGAAGUUCCUUUAGUGAAUAAGCAAUAAUUAUUGCAAGAGCGAACUCUGUAGCAGCAUUCCAGGGAGAAUACAGUAGCUAAUGGAUGUCACCCUCUAUCGAAUAGCACAACAUUGGGCAGAGAAUGUAGUAAUUUAGUCAGAGAAACAUCUUCACUUGUACAUGUUGCAUUAUAUAAUAACAUAUGAAACAACCAUGUUGUUGAUUCUGCCAAAUCAUCCUAGCCAUUUAUUUCUGCAUCAUCCAGCUGCUAACAAUCUAGAGAGACUAAAGCAGAUGGAAACUAGGUUAUAGAUAUGAUAAGAGUUUUGAACCCAGACGAUCUCUAUUCCAAGCAAAGUUCACAACAUACGGUUCAGCUUCUGAAUAAGUUAAGAUGUGUCUUGGAUUAACUUGUUUUUGUUUCAUUUCCCUUAAUCUGCGUUUUUACACGGUCUUAGAGUUGUUGCUUAUGGAGUUCGGACUAGAGUAUCAUGAAUCUUGGUUAAAAUAACUUAUCUUAGAUAUCUCUGACAAGUCUGGAUAAAUAUCAGAUGAACUUGUGUUCAGUCCAUAUUUUCACAUCUGCUAAUAAACUGCUUAAUUUCACCUUUGGAAUUAUUUUCAAGAUACUGGGUUCCCUUCCAUGCCAAUCUGGUCAUCUUGAGAAGACCUGAAAAGAAACCCAUCAAUUUGGAUCAGUCACAGAAAUUCAAAGCAUGCUUCUGUUUUUAUAAGAAUUACAAGUAAGCAAGGCACAUUAGGUCAAAAAGUAGUGGUGUCAAAUGAGUCAAGCCAGGUCAACAAGGGUACACAGUCUGUGUGCAGGCCGUGUUGUUGGUCCAUUGUUUAUUAAAUUUUCUAGUAAUUAAUACUACAAAAUGCUAAAUUUGGAAGAUUGAAGCGCUGAACAAGAACUAAACUUAGUUUACUCCUAUUAUCUAAACACAACCCUCCUCCUUUAUCCGAGCUUGGGACCGACUAUGAUUAGACAUAGGCGGAGUUGAAGUUAUACAUAAAAUAAUAUGUGCUAUUUCGUGUACACCUUUUUCAAAUUAAAAACAUCAGAUUCAUUAAAACUUAUAAUUUAACUGAAGAUACCAAAUAAAUUAUAAAUGUGACAGGUGGCCAGACCCCAUUUUGACACCACUAUAUUAAAGUCACGAGUAAAACUAUGUUCAAUUCUGCUAGAUUUCAAGCACAUAAUUGUAGAAAUCAAAUGGUAAGAAAGCUGAGAUCAGAUUCUCUGUCUAGUUUGUGUCCAACUAAAUUCGGCAGACCAUUAAGGAAAUUUCUAUUAGCUGGUCAAUUAAAAACCAACAAAUAUCAGUAAUAAGAUGAAAUUGAAAACCUUUUGACAAAGCUGUCCAUGGAUGAUCAUGUACAUUAAUAAAUACUAUUAAACUGAAUCAAGAUGGUAUCUAAAUAACUUCAAAAAAAGAAACCAAAAUUUGAGGAUGUUACUAAAAGAAAAGAAGAAGCAUAUUGUCAUAUUAGAUAAAACACACAAGCAAAUUAUUCACAAUUGCAUCAAAAAAAUUUGAGGAAGUUACAAAAAAAAAAAAAAAAAAAAAAAAAAAGGAAGCAUAUUGUUAUAUUAGAUAAAACACACAAGCAAAUUAUUCACAAUUGCAUCAAAUCCUUGUUCACAAAUUGAAGAAAUACAAGACUCUUGAAUUAUAAUAACAAAAGCGGUUUCAUGCAAUAAUAAUAAUAAUAAUAAUAAUAAUAAUAAUAAUAAUAAUAAUAAUAAUAAUAAUAAUAAAUUACCAUCCAAUACCUCUGUAGAGAGCUUACAUAGUCAUGCUCCUCCAAAACAGCCAGCAAAGUUAUUAUUGCAGCCUUUGUUUUUCGAAGAUGUUGAACCCCUCUUCAAACGUCAAUAGUUGAGGGUCCUUUACUGAAGAAGCAUUAUUGAAGAGCAAACUUUGUAGCAGCAUUCUAAGGAGAGGAUAAUAGCUGUCUCAUUUAAGGAAUUGCCUGUAUGAGUUGAUCAUAGACUGCAUCAUGGCAAAACUAAGUAUGAACUUGUGAAAAAAAAAAUCUUCUCAGUCUCUUCCAAUUCAUCCUCACGGUUAACUGCCCAAUUCUUGUCUUCUAACAAAGCGUUAUCAAUGCAUACUUUGUUUUGUUGAAAUAUUGUACCCCUCCUUAAACCUGGCACUUGAAGGCUUUCUACUGAAGAAACAAUACGGAUCCCCAAGAGCAAACUCUGUAGCAACAUUCCAGGGAUCUCAUUUGCCUGUACGAGUUGAUCAUAUAGUGCAUCAUGGAGAAAUAAAUUAUGAACUUGGGAACAAAAAUCUUCAAUCUCAGUUUCUUCCAAUUCAUUGCCAAAAUUCUAUCGCAAGCGCAAACUCUGUAGCGGCAUUCCAGGAGAAUAUAUUAGCAAAUGGAUGUCAACCUGUAUCGAAUAGCACAACAUUGGGCAGCAAAAUGUAGAAAUUUAGCCAGAGAAACAUCUCCACUUGUAUUUGUUGCAUUAUCAAUCAACAUAUAAAACAACCAUAUUGUUAAUUCUGUCAAAUCAUCCUAGACAUUUAGUCUUGCCUCACCCAGUUAAAACUCACAACCGUUAACAAUCUGAAGAGACUAAAGCAGACAGAAACUUUAGAUUAUAGAUAUCAUAGAAUUUUGAACCUGACUGAUUUCUAUUCCUAGCGUAGUUCACAUCACACGGAUCAGCUUCUGAAGAGGCGUGUCUUGGAUGAAUGUGUUUUUGUUUCAUUUCACUUAAUCUGCGUUUAUACACGGUCUUAGAGCUGUUGCUUAUGGAUUUAGGAAUAGAAUAUCAUGAAUUUUGGUCACAAUAACUUACCUUCAGAAGAGUUUGGAUAAAGAUUAGAUGAACUUGCGUUCAGUCCAUAUUUUCACACCUGUUAUAAUAUACUGCUGCAUUCACCUUUGGAACUAUUUUCAAGCCACUGGAUUCCCUUCCAUGCCAAUCUGGUCAUCUCUAGAAGACCUGAAAAGAAACCCAUCAAUUUGGACUGAUAGAUCAGUAACAGACAUUCAAAGCAUGCUUCUGUUUUUAUAAUAAUUACAAGGAAGCACGGCACAUUAUGUCAGGUAGUGGUGUCAAAUGAGUCAAGCCAGGCCAACAAGGGUACACAGUCUGUGUGCAGGCCGUGUUGUUGGUCCAUUGUUUAUUGAGUUUUCUAGUAAUUAAUUAUACAAAAUGCUAAAUUUGGAAGAUUGAAGUACUGAACAAGAACUAAACUUAGUUUAUUCCUAUUAUCUAAACACAUCCCUCCUCCUUUAUCCGGGCUUGGGACCGGCUAUGUUUAGACAUAGGCGGAGUUGAAAUUAUACGCGUAGUAAUGUAAUACAUAGAUUUCUAUGUAUUUGUUAUUCUGUGAACAAUUUUUUUUAAAAUAAAAAUCUAAAAUUAAUUAUAUCUUAUACAAUUAUUUCAAAUUGUUGGCUAUGGAAACUCUUGUAGACCAGAAGUUCAUGUCACAGCAUUAACUACACCCCCACACUCUCUACCUUUCACCAAUUCUUCUUUAGGGGCAGCCAGUUCUAAAGGCAAGGAGUAAACCAUCAAAUAUUCCAUAGAAAAUUCAACAAACUAUUGUCAAGAAAAUCACUGUUGCAUAAGGAAUAUUACCAUCAAGAAACAACAAAUCUUGAAAUAGAUAUAAAUUCUAAUGAGCUAGAAGGAGAGAGUGGCUAUUAAAACCGAACGGGUGUCGAAGUUAAAUCACUGACAACAAUUAAAUUGAAUGUAAUUAAUCUUUAACAAGAAUCCAAUCAAGUACAAAAUAAAAUCAAAUUAAAGCAUGUUUAUUCAAGAUGCAAGAUUGGUUAUGAGGACGAAGAACCCACUUCAAGUCAACAUUGACAACAAUCAAAUCGAGUGCAAUUAAAUCUUUGACAAGGAUCCAAUCGAGUGCAAAAUUAAAUCGAAUAAAGCAUGUUUUUACACAAAUUAUCUGAUAUUGCCUUCCAAGAUUAAUGAUGAAGAUGAUGAAACCACUGUUAAGUCAACAUUGACAAUAAUCAAAUCGUGAGUAAUAAAAUCUUCCACAAGAAUCCAAUCGAGUUCAAAAUAAAGCAUGUUUACCUUCCAAGAUUGCAAAAUUGGUGAUGAAGACGAUGAAACAACUGGAAGUCAACAUUGACAACAAUCAAAUCAAUGUAAUUAAUUCUUUCACAAGAAUCCAAUCGAGUGCAAAAUCAAAUCGAAUUAAAGCAUGUUUACCUUCCAAGAUUGGUGAUGAAGACGAUGAAACCACCAUAAGUCAACAUUGACAACGAUCAAAUCAAUUGUAAUUAAAUUUUUCACAAGAAUCCUAUCGAGAGAAAAUGAAAUCGUAUUAAAGCAUUUUUACCUUCCAAGAUUGCAAGAUUGGUGAUGAAGAAGUAAGUCAGCCUUGACAACAAUCAAAUCGAUUUAAUUAAAGCUUUCACAAGAAUCCAAUCGAGUGCAAAAUCAAAUUGAAUUAAAGCACUUUUAACUUCCAAGAUUGAUGAUUAAGACGAUGAAACCACUGUAAGUCAGCAUCGACAACAAUCAAAUCGAGUGUAAUUAAAAUCUUCCACAAGAAUCCAAUCCAGUGCAAAAUCAAAUCGAAUUAAAGCAUGUUUACCUUCCAAGAAUGCGAGAUUGGUGAUGAAGAUGAUGAAACCCACUGUGAGUCAACAUUGACAACAAUCAAAUCUAUCUAAUUAAACCUUUCAAAACAAUCCAAUGGAGUGCAAAAUCAAAUCGAAUUAAACCAUGCUUUUACGCAAAUAAAUCUGAUAUCAACUUCCAAGAUACGUGAUGAAGACGAUGAACCACUGCAAGUCCCCCUUUUCCCAAUUCAUUCACAGUAAAAUUUUGGUGGGAAAAAACAGAUAGAGCCGUCUGGCAGUUUUUGAGAAUUGAUUUUUUGAUAUGUGAGAGAAAAGUCAAAAAUUACGGUUUGAAUUGGAAAAUAAGUCAAAAAUUACGACUUGAAUAGGAAAAUAACUGUCAAAAAAAUCAAUUUUUUGGAGUAAAAAUUUCCUACCAAAUGGGGCCAUAGUUUCGCCCUUUGCGCUGUUAAUAAGACUAAUAGACCUUUCAGCACAGUGUAGGUCAAAUAAAUAUAUUGGGCCUGUUUUGCAGCAAUUUUUUUACCAAAAAAAAAAAUAAUAAUUUUUUGAUCGUUAUUUUAUUAUUUCAAUCGUCAUAUUUGAUUUCUUCUUUCACGGGUGGACCCCACUUUUUUCCUAACGAUCAAAAAAUCAAUUUUCAAAAUCACUCUCAAACAGGCUCAUAGACGCAAUUGUUUUCUUUUUGAAAAGUGAGAGAAUCAAAUACCUAUUUUGUAACUAAUUUACUUAUCAUCCUUUGAGUCAGUCACGUGGAAUAAUAAAUUAGCCAACCGUGAACUCGAUCCAAACCAAUCAAAUUGACACGGAUCAAUUUUUUCAAUUGGGAUUUCUCAACACAUAAUCUCGAUUUUAGUAUUUUAUUUAAAUGAAUUUAAAAGAAAAUACUUAAAAAUUGACCAAACUGACCCUACUUGAAUUUGCUUGAAUCGAUUUCGAAUUUUAUCUAUUGAACUUUAAGAUUGAGUUUUUACCCAACCCGACUCUUUCUAUACUAUUAUAGGUCUUUUAUCAUUUGAUAUGCUCUUCAUACAUUGUUUUCUUGAUUCAUAUAUCAAAUUGAUGUUGAUGAUUAUUAAAAAGAAUCGUUCAAUACUAUUAAAUUUAAACUAAUUUUAGUUAAUUGACAAAAAUGGAGAUAUUAAACAGUGAUUGUUUGAUAUAGAACAACAACGCUCAAUCUUUUUUCCAUAUAUUGAUUUAUUAGAUACUUUAUCGUGGAAAAAUACAAUUUAAUUAUUUUUAUGUAUCAACAAAAAUGCCAAUAAUUAUGUUGAAAUAAUACACACAUGUAGGUUUUUUAGAAUUUAUUUUUCAAUACUAAUAACAAGUAUCAAAAUCUUAAAUCAUUUAAAAGCGAGAAAUAUAAAAGCUCGUAUGAACCAUAUAAAAUUCCUUAUUUUUUACUAAUCAUACAACACAAGUUCAAUGUUCUUACAAUUCCCACAUUCCUGCGAAGAGGACGUAGUACAAAAACUACAAACUUCUAAUUUAUCGUAGCGUCUAAUCUCAUAGAAUAAAAGUUUACUGAACAUGCCCUUACUUACUUAACCAUAAUUGAAAGUCCAUUCCUUUGUUCACAAACUUCCGCCAGCUUCCAUCCAAAUCAACUUCCUACGUCUUCGUCCAACUAAUUAAGUAAUUUCAUUAAGUCAAUUAUUUCAGUUUAUCGAAAGAAUCGACACAAAGUAAACUAAACCCCUGUUUGGUACUCAUUUUUGGAGCCAAAAAUGCAUUUUUUCCGUCACAUCAGCACACAAUUUUUGACUUCUACACUCUAAUGGGGGACCCGCGAUAUGAUGUUUAAAAUGCAUUUUCAUCUAAAAAAUGUGCACCAAACGGCCUAUAAACUUCAAAAUAUUAAUCUUGAAUUGUUCAAUUAUAUAUUGUUCGUCAUAAUUUACUGAUCACGUUCCACUCCUCUAAAAGACAUGGGUGGUGAAGCUUCAAUCUUAAGGAUUUAAUAUGGAGAACAAGAUAGAAAAAAUUAGAAGUCAGAGGAUACAUACAUGCUACUUGCUCAUUCUCCCACAAUGAAC
rnacentral:lncRNA from 1 species